GACGAACGCUGGCGGCGUGCUUAACACAUGCAAGUCGAACGGUGAAGGGACUGGUUUUUGCUGGUUCUGGGUGAGUGGCGAACGGGUGAGUAACACGUGAGUAACCUGCCCCCUUCUUCUGGAUAACCGCAUGAAAGUGUGGCUAAUACGGGAUAUUCUGGGUCUGUCGCAUGGCGGGCCUGGGAAAGAUGCGCCUUUGGGUGUUUUUGGUGGGGGAUGGGCUCGCGGCCUAUCAGCUUGUUGGUGGGGUGAUGGCCUACCAAGGCGGUGACGGGUAGCCGGCCUGAGAGGGUGGACGGUCACACUGGGACUGAGACACGGCCCAGACUCCUACGGGAGGCAGCAGUGGGGAAUAUUGCACAAUGGGCGCAAGCCUGAUGCAGCGACGCCGCGUGAGGGAUGGAGGCCUUCGGGUUGUAAACCUCUUUCGCCAGUGAAGCAGGCCUGUCCCUUUUGUGGGUGGGUUGACGGUAGCUGGAUAAGAAGCGCCGGCUAACUACGUGCCAGCAGCCGCGGUAAUACGUAGGGCGCGAGCGUUGUCCGGAAUUAUUGGGCGUAAAGAGCUCGUAGGCGGCUGGUCGCGUCUGUCGUGAAAUCCUCUGGCUCAACUGGGGGCUUGCGGUGGGUACGGGCCGGCUUGAGUGCGGUAGGGGAGACUGGAACUCCUGGUGUAGCGGUGGAAUGCGCAGAUAUCAGGAAGAACACCGGUGGCGAAGGCGGGUCUCUGGGCCGUUACUGACGCUGAGGAGCGAAAGCGUGGGGAGCGAACAGG
rnacentral:rRNA from 1 species